rfam:Felis catus isolate Cinnamon breed Abyssinian chromosome X, whole genome shotgun sequence.
GCCUGGUUGGCUCAGUUGGUAGAGCAUGUGAGUCUUGAUCCUGAGGUCGUGAGUUCAAGCCUCACAUUGGGCU